AGGCUACGUCUGAUUGGUGGAAUGGAGUCAAACGUCACUAAAGUUUACGUUGGAUUGGCGAAACAGAGUCAUGUGACAGAAGGCCUUGCAAAUCUUAAUCAAUAGAUUAUAAAUAAUUAUGAUAUGAAUAAAUGUAUCCGGAGUAAAAGUAGCGUUUCUUCUUCACAAAAAUACUCAGAAGGGCGACACGGCGGUGCGGCUGGAUCAAAAGAGACGUCGGAGAUGCUUUGCUGAACAAAAAGUUGGUUUACUACAAGCGAGCGCCGUUAAACAGGUCUGCAGUACCCGGAGGAGCUCAGCCUUCCCUAUGUCAUGACUUGGACUGUGAGGGUUUUGUUUUCCCGAGAUGCAAGUAAAGCUGGAUCGGACAUGGCUUGGAGAAAUGGCAACAGCGGAGGAUGAAUGUCCCAUAACAAGAAGUUGGAGAAAAAGAAGAAGCUUAUCGACUACGCAGUCGUCAUGGACUACAAAAGGCGGAAACGCGCAAUUUUUCAGGAUUCAUGCAGAUCCCAAAUACAGAUCAGCAGGUACCAGAAGGAGCGCCGUAAGUGGCUGACCCGUUGGCGGUCCCGUCUUGUCCCCUUGUAACGUCUGCUCUUAGUGGGACUGUGCCGAUAAUGAAAUUUCAGUUCUUAUGUGUCUUGUACAUGUUAAAGAAUGGACAAAAAUAAAG